UUGAAAUCUGGCUGGUUUACUAGUCCGAGUUGUAAUUUAAAGAAGCGUUUUCGGUGGCAGCCUGGGUAUAAAUCCUUUGGAAUAGGGUAUCAUAGAGGGUGAGAAUCCCGUCUUUGACCUAGUGCAUGCUACUAUGUGAUACGUUUUCAAAGAGUCGAGUUGUUUGGGAAUGCAGCUCAAAAUGGGUGGUAAAUUUCAUCUAAAGCUAAAUAUUGGCGAGAGACCGAUAGCGAACAAGUACCGUGAGGGAAAGAUGAAAAGAACUUUGAAAAGAGAGUUAAACAGUGCGUGAAAUUGUUGAAAGGGAAACGUUUGACACCAGUCAUGUGGGUGGAAAAUCAGUCUUUUGCAUUGGGGAGUUGUAAGGGUUCGGACCGCAAGGCCGGCUUUUGCUUCAUCUUUGGUGUAAGUGAUGCACUUUUUCAUCUACAGGUCAACAUCAGUUUCUUUUGCUGGACAAAACUCCGAGAGAAGGUAGCAGCUUAGGCUGUGUUAUAGCUCUGGAGCGAUACAGUGAAGGGGACUGAGGUUUUCGCAGCGUGUGCUCUCGGGCAAGGCUGGAUGGGUGCUAUGGGAUCGUUCGGGGUACAAUGCCUGGCAUUUUGCUUCGUGUCUUUUCUAUACUCGCUCAACUCAGCUCUUCCACGCUUAGGAUGUUGACUUAAUGGUUUUAAACGACCCGUCUUGAAACACGGACCAAGGAGUCUAACAUAUAUGCAAGUGUUUGGGUGGCAAACCCAUGCGCGUAAUGAAAGUGAACGUAGGUGCGAUCCGCAAGGUGCAGCAUCGACCGAUCUUGAUAUUUUUGGAUAGAUUUGAGUAAGAGCAUAUAUGCUGGGACCCGAAAGAUGGUGAACUAUGCCUGAAUAGGGUGAAGCCAGAGGAAACUCUGGUGGAGGCUCGUAGCGAUUCUGACGUGCAAAUCGAUCGUCAAAUUUGGGUAUAGGGGCGAAAGACUAAUCG
rnacentral:rRNA from 2 species